rnacentral:rRNA from 1 species
AUGGGGCGCAGCAGGCGAGAAAACUUUGCAAUGUGCGCAAGCACGACAAGGUUAAUCCGAGUGUUUCCUGCUAAAGGAAUCUUUUGCUAGUCCUAAAAACACUAGCGAAUAAGGGGUGGGCAAGUUCUGGUGUCAGCCGCCGCGGUAAAACCAGCACCUCAAGUGGUCAGGAGGUUUAUUGGGCCUAAAGCAUCCGUAGCCUGAUCUAUAAGUUUCCGGUUAAAUCCACAUGCUCAACAUUUGGGCUGCCGGAAAAACUGUAGAUCUAGGGAGUGGGAGAGGUAGACGGUACUCGGUAGGAAGGGGUAAAAUCCUUUGAUCUAUUGAUGACCACCAGUGGCGAAGGCGGUCUACCAGAACACGUUCGACGGUGAGGGGUGAAAGCUGGGGGAGCAAACCGGAUUAGAUACCCGGGUAGUCCCAGCUGUAAACGAUGCAGACUCGGUGAUGCAUUGGCUUGUGGCCAGUGCAGUGCCGCAGGGAAGCCGUUAAGUUUGCCGCCUGGGAAGUACGUACGCAAGUAUGAAACUUAAAGGAAUUGGCGGGGGAGCAC